rnacentral:rRNA from 1 species
GUGGGGAAUCUUGCGCAAUGGGCGAAAGCCUGACGCAGCCAUGCCGCGUGAAUGAUGAAGGUCUUAGGAUUGUAAAAUUCUUUCACCGGGGACGAUAAUGACGGUACCCGGAGAAGAAGCUCCGGCUAACUUCGUGCCAGCAGCCGCGGUAAUACGAAGGGGGCUAGCGUUGCCCGGACUUACUGGGCGUAAAGGGCGCGUAGGCGGACAGCUUAGUCAGAGGUGAAAGCCCAGGGCUCAACCUUGGAAUUGCCUUUGAUACUGGCUGUCUUGAGUUUGGGAGAGGUGAGUGGAACUCCGAGUGUAGAGGUGAAAUUCGUAGAUAUUCGGAAGAACACCAGUGGCGAAGGCGACUCACUGGCCAAAUACUGACGCUGAGGCGCGAAAGCGUGGGGAGCAAACAGGAUUAGAAACCCGUGUAGUCC